GUCUUCUUCACUGGGGCUCUCUGCUACCGCUCCUUUUCCUGUCCUGGAUGGGGAAGACAGAGAGAGAGAUGGAGGAUGCCCUGCGGGAGACGCCACAGUAAAAAUACCGGACUGUCCGCAACGUAACGUCGCCCUGAAUCGCUGCGGCCAGUCGAACACAGAACAAAUGAGCACACACUCCUGGCAAUUUUCGCGAAUGGCGUGUGUCACCGCCGAGACAGAGGACAAAAUGAAUGCUGCUGGGACAAUUACUGAGGAGCCACGACCAUCCUAAUUUAUUCCACUUCAAAUUUUCCAUGAGCAGCUGACCAGUAAACUGCAGUAACAAGAUCAUCUAUCCAUCGAUCUUCUAUCCUCAUGCUUCCCCCUGCUGGCCAAGAUUUGUCAUUACAAUUGAUAAGUUUGAAGUAAACCUGUAUCAGAGCCGUGUUUAAAAAUGAACGUUAUUGAAAUAUUUAGAAUCUUAAAUAAUCACACACACACUAACCCCUAAUUCUCAUUCUUUCUGCAAAAUUUAUUUUAAUAAAAUACACCAUACACCUAUCAGCCACAUUGAGAGGAAAUUGAGGAGAAAUUGACCUUUAAUAAUUAAAUGUUCUGCUGGGAAACGUUUGGACCUGGCAUUCAUGCUGAUGUUACCAGAUGUUUAUCACUCACCUAGACCAGACCAGACACCCCCACCAGCAAUGACACUUCUUGAUGGCAGCAGACAUACUCAGCAGGAUGCAGCCUGA